AACGAACGCUGGCGGCAUGCCUAACACAUGCAAGUCGAACGAGACCUUCGGGUCUAGUGGCGCACGGGUGCGUAACGCGUGGGAACCUGCCUUUAGGUUCGGAAUAACUCAGAGAAAUUUGAGCUAAUACCGGAUAAUGUCUUCGGACCAAAGAUUUAUCGCCUUUAGAUGGGCCCGCGUUGGAUUAGCUAGUUGGUGGGGUAAAGGCCUACCAAGGCGACGAUCCAUAGCUGGUCUGAGAGGAUGAUCAGCCACACUGGGACUGAGACACGGCCCAGACUCCUACGGGAGGCAGCAGUGGGGAAUUUUGGACAAUGGGCGCAAGCCUGAUCCAGCAAUAGCCGCGUGCAGGAUGAAGGCCUCGGUUGGUAACGUUAGACG
rnacentral:rRNA from 1 species